rnacentral:rRNA from 1 species
AAAAGCGGAAGCCGGGAAUGGAAAGCCCGGUGCAAGCGGGGUACCAGUCACUUUGGCAAAUCCGGGUGGCAAUGGGAAGCCGUGAUGCGGAGUGAAAUAAAGUAACGAAGUCCGUGAGCCAUGCGUCAAGAAAAGCCGCUAUCGUUUAUACCGUACCCGUACCGUAAACCGACACAGGUGGAUGAGGAGAGAAUCCUAAGGCCGGCGGAAGAAGCAUUGUCAAGGAACUCGGCAAAAUGGCCCCGUAACUUAGGGAUAAGGGGUGCCUGGGAAACCAGGCCGCAGAGAAUAGGCUCAAGCAACUGUUUAGCAAAAACACAGGUCUAUGCGAAACCGAAAGGUGAGGUAUAUGGGCUGACGCCUGCCCGGUGCUGGAAGGUUAAGAGGAGAGGUUAGCGGUAACGCGAAGCUUUGAAUUUAAGCCCCAGUAAACGGCGGCCGUAACAAUAACGGUCCUAAGGUAGCGAAAUUCCUUGUCGGGUAAGUCCCGACCCGCACGAAAGGCGUAAUGAUUUGAGCGCUGUCUCGACAAUGCAUCCGGUGAAAUUGAAGUACCAGUGAAGAUGCUGGUUACCUGCGCCAGGACGGAAAGACCCCAUGGAGCUUUACUCCAGUCUGGUACUGGGACUCGGUAUUGCAUGUACAGGAUAGGUGGGAGGCUAGGAGAUGGUAACGCCAGUUGCCAUGGAGCCGCUGUUGGGAUACCACCCUUGCAGUAUUGGGUUUCUAACCAGCCGCCGUGACCCGGCGGUGGGACAAUGCCAGACGGGGAGUUUGACUGGGGCGGUCGCCUCCGAAAGGGUAUCGGAGGCGCCCAAAGGUUCCCUCAGAAUGGACGGAAACCAUUCGAAGAGUGCAAAGGCAGAAGGGAGCUUGACUGCGACACCGACGGGUGGAGCAGGUACGAAAGUAGGGCUUAGUGAUCCGGUGGUAUUAAGUGGGAAUGCCAUCGCUCAACGGAUAAAAGCUACCCUGGGAUAACAGGCUUAUCACUCCCAAGAGUUCACAUCGACGGAGUGGUUUGGCACCUCGAUGUCGGCUCAUCGCAUCCUGGGGCUGUAGUAGGUCCCAAGGGUUGGGCUGUUCGCCCAUUAAAGCGGUACGCGAGCUGGGUUCAGAACGUCGUGAGACAGUUCGGUCCCUAUCCGGCGUGGGCGUAGGAUAUCUGAGAGGAGCUGUCCUUAGUACGAGAGGACCGGGAUGGACGGGCCGCUGGUGCAUCGGUUAGACUGCCAAGUCUACGGCCGAGUAGCCAAGCCCGGAAGGGAUAAACGCUGAAGGCAUCUAAGCGUGAAGCCCCCCUUAAGAUGAGAUAUCCCAUUCGAAAGAAGUAAACCCCCUUGAAGACGACGAGGUAGAUAGGGCAGAGGUGGAAGUGCAGCAAUGCAUGGAGCUGACUGUUACUAAUCGGGUGAGGGCUUGAUC